CUCUCUGACGUUAGCGGCGGACGGGUGAGUAACACGUGGAUAACCUACCUAUAAGACUGGGAUAACUUCGGGAAACCGGAGCUAAUACCGGAUAAUAUAUUGAACCGCAUGGUUCAAUAGUGAAAGACGGUUUUGCUGUCACUUAUAGAUGGAUCCGCGCCGCAUUAGCUAGUUGGUAAGGUAACGGCUUACCAAGGCAACGAUGCGUAGCCGACCUGAGAGGGUGAUCGGCCACACUGGAACUGAGACACGGUCCAGACUCCUACGGGAGGCAGCAGUAGGGAAUCUUCCGCAAUGGGCGAAAGCCUGACGGAGCAACGCCGCGUGAGUGAUGAAGGUCUUCGGAUCGUAAAACUCUGUUAUUAGGGAAGAACAAAUGUGUAAGUAACUAUGCACGUCUUGACGGUACCUAAUCAGAAAGCCACGGCUAACUACGUGCCAGCAGCCGCGGUAAUACGUAGGUGGCAAGCGUUAUCCGGAAUUAUUGGGCGUAAAGCGCGCGUAGGCGGUUUUUUAAGUCUGAUGUGAAAGCCCACGGCUCAACCGUGGAGGGUCAUUGGAAACUGGAAAACUUGAGUGCAGAAGAGGAAAGUGGAAUUCCAUGUGUAGCGGUGAAAUGCGCAGAGAUAUGGAGGAACACCAGUGGCGAAGGCGACUUUCUGGUCUGUAACUGACGCUGAUGUGCGAAAGCGUGGGGAUCAAACAGGAUUAGAUACCCUGGUAGUCCACGCCGUAAACGAUGAGUGCUAAGUGUUAGGGGGUUUCCGCCCCUUAGUGCUGCAGCUAACGCAUUAAGCACUCCGCCUGGGGAGUACGACCGCAAGGUUGAAACUCAAAGGAAUUGACGGGGACCCGCACAAGCGGGGGAGCAUGUGGUUUAAUUCGAAGCAACGCGAAGAACCUUACCAAAUCUUGACAUCCUCUGACCCCUCUAG
rnacentral:rRNA from 1 species